AGUGAACGCUGGCGGUAGGCCUAACACAUGCAAGUCGAACGGCAGCACAGUAAGAGCUUGCUCUUACGGGUGGCGAGUGGCGGACGGGUGAGGAAUACAUCGGAAUCUACUUUUUCGUGGGGGAUAACGUAGGGAAACUUACGCUAAUACCGCAUACGACCUACGGGUGAAAGCAGGGGAUCUUCUGACCUUGCGCGAUUGAAUGAGCCGAUGUCGGAUUAGCUAGUUGGCGGGGUAAAGGCCCACCAAGGCGACGAUCCGUAGCUGGUCUGAGAGGAUGAUCAGCCACACUGGAACUGAGAAACGGUCCAGACUCCUAAGGGAGGAAGCAGUGGGGAAUAUUGGACAAUGGGGGCAAGACUGAUCCAGCCAUACCGCGUGGGUGAAGAAGGCCUUCGGGUUGUAAAGCCCUUUUGUUGGGAAAGAAAAGCAGCAGGUUAAUACCCCGCUGUUCUGACGGUACCCAAAGAAUAAGCACCGGCUAACUUCGUG
rnacentral:rRNA from 1 species